UCUUCGGGGUUGUAGGACUGCAAUGUGGACUCAAAGAUUAUAGAAGAAUGAUUUGGGAAGAUCAGCCAAAGAGAGUAAUAGCCUCGUAUUUAAAAUAGUCUUUGUACCUAGCAGUAUCCUGAGUACGGCGGGACACGUGAAAUCCCGUCGGAAUCUGGGAGGACCAUCUCCCAACCCUAAAUACUCCCUAGUGACCGAUAGUGAACCAGUACCGUGAGGGAAAGGUGAAAAGCACCCCGGGAGGGGAGUGAAAUAGAACCUGAAACCGUGUGCCUACAACAAGUUCGAGCCCGUUAAUGGGUGAGAGCGUGCCUUUUGUAGAAUGAACCGGCGAGUUACGUUAUGAUGCGAGGUUAAGUUGAAGAGACGGAGCCGUAGGGAAACCGAGUCUGAAUAGGGCGAAUUAGUAUCAUGACGUAGACCCGAAACCAUGUGACCUACCCAUGAGCAGGUUGAAGGUGCGGUAAGACGCACUGGAGGACCGAACCAGGGCACGUUGAAAAGUGCUUGGAUGACUUGUGGGUAGCGGAGAAAUUCCAAACGAACUUGGAGAUAGCUGGUUCUCUCCGAAAUAGCUUUAGGGCUAGCGUCGACAUUAGAGAUUCUUGGAGGUAGAGCACUGUUUGGGUGAGGGGUCCAUCCCGGAUUACCAAUCUCAGAUAAACUCCGAAUGCCAAUGAAUUAUGGUCGGCAGUCAGACUGCGAGUGCUAAGAUCCGUAGUCGAAAGGGAAACAGCCCAGACCACCAGCUAAGGUCCCAAAAUAAUUGUUAAGUGGAAAAGGAUGUGGGGUUGCACAGACAACUAGGAUGUUAGCUUAGAAGCAGCUAUUCAUUCAAAGAGUGCGUAAUAGCUCACUAGUCGAGUGACCCUGCGCCGAAAAUGUACCGGGGCUAAAACAAUUUACCGAAGCUGUGGAUACCUUUUAUAGGUAUGGUAGGAGAGCGUUCUAUGUGUGAUGAAGGUAUACCGUGAGGAGUGCUGGAACGCAUAGAAGUGAGAAUGCCGGUAUGAGUAGCGAAAGACAGGUGAGAAUCCUGUCCACCGUAAGACUAAGGUUUCCAGGGGAAGGCUCGUCCGCCCUGGGUUAGUCGGGACCUAAGGAGAGACCGAAAGGUGUAUCCGAUGGACAACAGGUUGAUAUUCCUGUACUAGAGUAUGUAGUGAUGGAGGGACGCAGUAGGCUAACUAAAGCAGACGAUUGGAAGAGUCUGUCUAAGCAGUGAGGUGUGAUAUGAGUCAAAUGCUUAUAUCUGUAACAUUGAGCUGUGAUGGGGAGCGAAGUUUAGUAGCGAAGUUAGUGACGUCACACUGCCAAGAAAAGCUUCUAGCGUUUAAACAUACUCUACCCGUACCGCAAACCGACACAGGUAGUCGAGGCGAGUAGCCUCA
rnacentral:rRNA from 1 species